CUUUAAUAACUUCCACAAUUUUUAUCAGAUCAACCAAAUUUUCAGAAAUCACAACUACUAUAGUUGCUAUUCUCUAUUACGGAAUCAAUAUAUUAAACAUGGAAAUAAAGCACCAAGCUCUGUUUAAGGUGAAGUUUGAACUAACACUCAGGCUCUGAAAAAAAACGAAGUGCAUCCUAUUAAAAAUCUUUAGUACUUAUUGCAAGGCAUAAUCACUGUAGGAUAAACUUAUAAAAGAAAAGAGCUUCUUGACUCGAGUAAAUGUUCAACAAACAGGGACAUGAAAAAAUGUAGCAGCUUUGACAGUACCAUACCGCAAACUACAGAGGGUUCCCAGUUUACAAGGAGCUCAAAAAAGUUUUUACUAAGUGGACACAGUAAGCUCUCAAGCAACAUCAUCAACAUCUAAAACUAUCAUCACCCUGUAAUCUUUGAAAACGCUUUAAAAUCGUGUAUGGAAAGCACCACAUCCCAUGAAACUUCAACAACAGAAGCCGUCAAACAACCAGAUGAACAAACGACUCCGAAAAUAGAAGAAAUGUUAUAUAACCUGCACGAAAGUAUGAUAGUACAUCUAUCUUAUAAGAAAUCAAAAUGUUUUAAUAGAAGUUUUUUUUCCUGCAAAAACAUUCGAACCAAUAAAUGGUUCCCAUUCGUAUAGGACUAUGGAAUACCAAACAGAGUCAAAAAUAUCACAUUUUUGGCUUUACUCUUUGUGCUUUAUAUCGCUCUCUUUCGAUUUUUCAUUGUGCUAUGAACGUCAAAAGAAAACCUUAUUAUAUAUAUAUCGUAUAAUUUUUGACUGGAGUGUACCACUAACAGUCAAAACCAACUCUUACCCUGCUGCGACCCAAUCUCACCAAAAGUUUUUAUCAAAAUUUCCUUUCGUUGCGUUCAAGCAAUCUGCCUACUAUUGACCGUAUUAUCAAGAGAUGUAGAAAGCCAAUCAUCAUAAUUAUACCAAAACCUUGUAAAGAUUUCACAACUGCCUCAUUGCCUCAAUCCGUCUCCAUCAUGGCUCUGUGGCACCUAAAAUCUCCAAAAGUUUGCUUUAGGUAGGAAAUGGCUUGGUGUUGAUUUUUGUGGCAA